rnacentral:rRNA from 1 species
UACAGAGGUCCCGAGCGUUGUUCGGAUUCAUUGGGCGUAAAGGGUGCGUAGGCGGUCUGCUAAGGUUGAUGUGAAAUCCCGGGGCUCAACCCUGGAAUUGCAUUGAAUACUGGUGGACUAGAGUACUGGAGAGGAAACUGGAAUUUACGGUGUAGCAGUGAAAUGCGUAGAGAUCGUAAGGAAGACCAGUGGCGAAGGCGAGUUUCUGGACAGUAACUGACGCUGAGGCACGAAGGCCAGGGGAGCAAACGGG